GCAAGUGUAACAAAAAUUGCGGUGUGCGUACUUUGGUAAUCGCUUAAUACACUAUUGCCAAUGUCACGAUAUGCGUACGUGCCCGAGACGAUGACCAUUAUGCAUUAAGGCAACUCGUGUAAUUCCAGUACAAGUACAUGUCAGUAGACGGCUAACAAAAAAGAAGAUCGUCAUCGGGUACCGCUUCUUUGUUUUAAAAUCGUAUAUAAGCGACGAGCGGUGUGCAUCCAGUUAUCAGUUUUCAACUGCAAUCAGCUUGAGUCUACUCAACAACAAACAACCCAACAUGUUCAAAUACAUUUUCUUUGCUGUUCUUUUGGCGUUUGCCGCCGCUGAGCCAAAACCAGAACCUAAGCCUGGUUACCUGGCCGCCCCAUUGGCAUACACUUCGGGGGCAUACAUCAACCCCUACUCAACUUACCCAACUUACUCUGCUUAUAAUGCCUAUAGCGCUCCCUUGGCUUACAGCAACCUCCAGGCAUACAACUAUGGGUAUCCAUAUGCUUACAACUACUACUAUUAAUUGAUUGUAAUAACGUGAUAAGAAUUGUGAUCAAUGAUUUUGUCAAUGCAAAUGAAUAAAUGACUGAAUUAAUUAA